rnacentral:rRNA from 1 species
GAUGAACGCUGGCGGCGUGCCUAAUACAUGCAAGUCGAGCGAACAGACGAGGAGCUUGCUCCUUUGACGUUAGCGGCGGACGGGUGAGUAACACGUGGGUAACCUACCUAUAAGACUGGGAUAACUUCGGGAAACCGGAGCUAAUACCGGAUAAUAUUUCGAACCGCAUGGUUCGAUAGUGAAAGAUGGCUUUGCUGUCACUUAUAGAUGGACCUGCGCCGUAUUAGCUAGUUGGUAAGGUAACGGCUUACCAAGGCAACGAUACGUAGCCGACCUGAGAGGGUGAUCGGCCACACUGGAACUGAGACACGGUCCAGACUCCUACGGGAGGCAGCAGUAGGGAAUCUUCCGCAAUGGGCGAAAGCCUGACGGAGCAACGCCGCGUGAGUGAUGAAGGUCUUCGGAUCGUAAAACUCUGUUAUUAGGGAAGAACAAACGUGUAAGUAACUGUGCACGUCUUGACGGUACCUAAUCAGAAAGCCACGGCUAACUACGUG